GAUGAACGCUGGCGGCGUGCCUAAUACAUGCAAGUCGAGCGAACAGACGAGGAGCUUGCUCCUCUGACGUUAGCGGCGGACGGGUGAGUAACACGUGGAUAACCUACCUAUAAGACUGGGAUAACUUCGGGAAACCGGAGCUAAUACCGGAUAAUAUAUUGAACCGCAUGGUUCAAUAGUGAAAGACGGUUUUGCUGUCACUUAUAGAUGGAUCCGCGCCGCAUUAGCUAGUUGGUAAGGUAACGGCUUACCAAGGCGACGAUGCGUAGCCGACCUGAGAGAGUGGUCGGCCACACUGGAACUGAGACACGGUCCAGACUCCUACGGGAGGCGGCAGUAGGGAAUCUUCCGCAAUGGGCGAAAGCCUGACGGAGCAGCGCCGCGUGAGUUAUGAAGGUCUUCGGAUCGUAAAACUCUGUUAUUAGGGAAGAACAAAUGUGUAAGUAACUAUGCACGUCUUGACGGUACCUAAUCAGAAAGCCACGGCUAACUACGUG
rnacentral:rRNA from 1 species